UACGUAGGGGGCAAGCGUUGUCCGGAAUCAUUGGGCGUAAAGAGCGUGUAGGCGGUCCGAUAAGUCGGCUGUGAAAGUCAAGGGCUCAACCCUUGAAUGCCGGCCGAUACUGUCAGGCUAGAGUCCGGAAGAGGCGAGUGGAAUUCCUGGUGUAGCGGUGAAAUGCGCAGAUAUCAGGAGGAACACCAAUGGCGAAGGCAGCUCGCUGGGACGGUACUGACGCUGAGACGCGAAAGCGUGGGGAGCAAACAGG
rnacentral:rRNA from 1 species